UACCUGCAGCUCAAGUGGUGACCGUUAUUAUUGGGCCUAAAACGUUCGUAGCCGGUUUAGUAAAUGCCUGGGUAAAUCGUGUAGCUUAACUAUACGAAUUCCGGGUAGACUGCUAAACUUGAGAUCGGGAGAGGCUAGAGGUACUCCUGGGGUAGAGGUGAAAUUCUGUAAUCCUAGGGGGACCAUCAGUGGCGAAGGCGUCUAGCUAGAACGUGUCUGACGGUGAGGAACGAAGCCCUGGGGCGCGAACCGGAUUAGAUACCCCCGUA
rnacentral:rRNA from 1 species